rnacentral:rRNA from 1 species
GGAAUGAGCUAUUCUUAAUAAUUUUCGCGCCCAAGGAUGGGUCUGCGGCUGAUUAGGCUGUUGGCGGGGUAAUGGCCCACCAAACCCGUGAUCCGUAAGGGCCCUUAGCGGGGAAACCCUGAGAGGGAGUCUGAGACACUACUCCCAGCCCUACGGGGUGCAGCAGUUAGGAAUUUUUUGCAAUGCGCGCAAGCGUGACAGAGCGAGCCAGAGUGUUGUUCCAUAUUGGACUUUUGCCAGCUGUAAAAAGGCUGGCGAAUAAGGACUGGGCAAGACCGGUGCCAGCCGCCGCGGUAAUCCCGGCGGUCCGAGUCGCAACCACAAUUAUUGGGUCUAAAACAUCCGUAGCUUGCUUUGUAAGUCUGUUGUGAAAUUCUGUCUCUUAAGGGCAGAGAUUGCAAUGGAUACUGCAGAGCUAGAGACCGGGGGACGUGAUGAGUACAUCUGAGGUAGUGGUAAAAUACGUUAAUCUCAGGUGGACUAACACUAGCGAAGGCACGUCACGAGAACGGUUCUGACAGUGAGGGAUGAAGGCUAGGGGCGCAAAAUGGAUUAGAUACCCAUGUAGUCCUAGCAGUAAACACUGUACACUAAACCUUGUGACCUCCUCGAGAGGUUGCAGGGCUGUAGCGAAGGCGAAGAGUGUACUACCUGGGAAGUAUAGCCGCAAGGCCGAAACUUAA